rnacentral:rRNA from 1 species
AUGAAGGUCUUCGGAUUGUAAAAUUCUGUGGUAAGAGAAGAAAGAUAUAAAGAGGAAAUGCUUUGUAUUUGACGGUAUCUUGCUAGAAAGCCACGGCUAACUACGUGCCAGCAGCCGCGGUAAUACGUAGGUGGCGAGCGUUAUCCGGAAUUAUUGGGCGUAAAGAGGGAGCAGGCGGUUAGAUAAGUCUAUGGUUAAAUGCAACAGCUCAACUGUUGUUCGCUAUAGAAACUAUUUAACUAGAGUGCGGGAGAGGUAAGUGGAACUCCAUAUGUAGCGGUGGAAUGCUUAGAUAUAUGGAAGAACACCAGAGGCGAAGGCGGCUUACCAGUCCGUAACUGACGCUCAGUCACGAAAGCGUGGGGAGCAAAUAGGAUUAGAUACCCUAGUAGUCCACGCCGUAAACGAUGAGAACCUGAUGCAGGAGAUAUUCUGUGUCGAAGCUAACGCGUUAAGUUCUCCGCCUGGGUACUACGUUCGCAAGAAUAAAACUUAAAGGAAUUGACGGGCGCCCGCACAAGCAGUGGAGCAUGGGGUUUAAUUCGUCGAUACACGAAAAACCUUACCAGGGCUUGACAUCCCGCUAAAAGCCUUAGAAAUAAGGAAAUAGUUAUAGCGGUGACAGGUGGUGCAUGGUUGUCGUCAGCUCGUGCCGUGAGGUGUUAGGUUAAGUCCUCAAACGAGCGCAACCCUUGUCUUUAGUUGCCAUUAUUAAUUUAGGAACUC